UGGGGAAUAUUGGGCAAUGGGCGAAAGCCUGACCCAGCAACGCCGCGUGAAGGAAGAAGGUUUUCGGAUCGUAAACUUCUCUCCUUGGUGAAGAUAAUGACGGUAGCCAAGAAGGAAGCCCCGGCUAACUCCGUGCCCGCAGCCGCGGUCAUACGUCGGGGGCCAGCGUUGUCCGGAAUUAUUGGGCGUGAAGGGCGCGUAGGCGGCCUGGUAAGUCUGGAGUGAAAGUCCUGCUUUUAAGGUGGGAAUUGCUUUGGAUACUGUCGGGAUUGAGGGCAGGAGAGGUAAGUGGAAUGCCAGGUGUAGCGGUGAAAUGAGGAGAGAUAGGGAGGAACACCAGUGGAGAAGGCGACGUACUGGACUGUAACGGACGCUGAGGCGCGAAAGUGUGGGGAGCAAACAG
rnacentral:rRNA from 1 species